AUCUAUGGCCAUGCUACCCUGAACACGCCAGAUACUGGCUGAUCUCGGAAGCUAGCACAGUCAGGCCUGGUUAGUACUUGGAUGGGAGUCCAUCUAGGAAGACCAGGAGCUGUAGGCA
rnacentral:rRNA from 1 species